rnacentral:rRNA from 1 species
UACGGGGGGAGCAAGCGUUGUUCGGAUUUACUGGGCGUAAAGGGCGCGUAGGCGGUCAGCACAAGUCAGUUGUGAAAUCUCCGGGCUUAACUCGGAAAGGUCAACUGAUACUGUGCGACUAGAGUGCAGAAGGGGCAACUGGAAUUCUCGGUGUAGCGGUGAAAUGCGUAGAUAUCGAGGGGAACACCUGCGGCGAAGGCGGGUUGCUGGGCUGACACUGACGCUGAGGUGCGAAAGCGUGGGGAGCAAACAGG